AUACGUAGGGGGCGAGCGUUGUCCGGAAUGAUUGGGCGUAAAGGGCGCGUAGGCGGCCUGUUAAGUCUGGAGUGAAAGUCCUGUUUUCAAGAUGGGAAUUGCUUUGGAUACUGAUGGGCUUGAGUGCAGGAGAGGUUAUCGGAAUUCCCGGUGUAGCGGUGAAAUGCGUAGAGAUCGGGAGGAACACCAGUGGCGAAGGCGGGUAACUGGACUGCAACUGACGCUGAGGCGCGAAAGUGUGGGGAGCAAACAGGAUUAGAUACCCUGGUAGUCCACACUGUAAACGAUGAAUGCUAGGUGUAAGAGGUAUCGACCCCUUUUGUGCCGGAGUUAACACAAUAAGUAUUCCACCUGGGGAGUACGAUCGCAAGGUUGAAACUCAAAGGAAUUGACGGGG
rnacentral:rRNA from 1 species